rnacentral:lncRNA from 1 species
CAGAACUUAAAGUAAAUUUUAAAAAAUAAAAAUAAAAAAUAAAUAUAAAUAUGUAAACAAUAUGGUUCUGGGACACAGUAUAGUAACAGGAACUUUAUGUUGGCAUAAUAAUCCUCAUUCAAUAAGCCUUUUUAGGAGAGUGUAACUGGCCACCAAUUUGAAGGAUUGCUUCUUCAUCCAAGAAAAGAAAUGAGGACAUGUUGUUCUCAUAAAAUGAUGGCUCCAAAUUAUUGUAUCAAGGGGUAGACUGCGUCAGCCUGAAUUUAUACCCCUAUUCUGUUUACACAAGAGGAGUCCUUGGCCUGCCAGACCCUUGGCUGCUUGCUCAAAAGAGAUGUCUGGCUGUCACCACUAUCACUUUGUCUCCAAAUAUCAACAACGCUCAUGGCCUCUCCUGGGCUGAGAUCCAAACUCCCUCCAGCAGAUCCUUCUUUAUGCAGCUUCAGCACAAGGUCUGGCUUUUCCACUUCUUCCAGCCUCAAAUGAAGUGCCAUUCCAUACACUGCAGGAUGUGACUUUCCGUGGAUUACUGGAAAUGGUGAGGUGAAACAAUCUGGAAGUUCAAGAGAGUUAAUCAGCUGAACCAAGGGAGGAACCAAACUGUAGUCUGCGUUUCAAUGGAGUGGAGCUGAGAAGUUCAGUCUCUCGUUGAUUCACACAAGGGACAGUUCAGUUUCUCAAGCAAAUGCACAAACAAGCCAAGUGAGAUUAAUUUGGGGAGAAAGAGGCAAUGGAAAAGAUCCUUCAGAAUGCUUUCUGAAUCAAAAUUAGGAUCCUGAACAACAACUUCCUAGGAAAAGAACCAGCUCAGAAUAAAGCAGAAGACUGUCAACUGAGCAGGAGGUUCAGGGCUGAGGAGGACUUACCAGUUUCACUCAAGAAGAAGCUUGGAGUUGGGGGGCUUUCAAUGGGCCCCUGCUGGUACCUUAGCUCUGGGUUUGGGUGACUCUUUCAGGGUUCUGAGUCUUCUCUGAGGCCCCAUAUGUAGGGUGCCAAUUAAUAUUGACUAAAAAAGCCAAACUGUAACAUAUGUGAAGAGGUUUAUUCUAAGCCAAAUAUGAGUAGCCAUGGCCCAAGGCAUGGUCUCAAGAGGUCCUGAGAACAUGUGCUCAAGGUGGUUGGGCUACAGCUUUCUUUUCUAUGUUUUAGAGAGACAUAAGACAUCAAUCAAUACAUGUGAGGUAUCCAUUGGUUUGGUCUAGAAGGGCAGGACGACUUAAAGCAGGGGAAAGUGGGUGCUUACAGGUCAUAGGAGGAUUCCAAGAUUUUCUGAUUGGCAAUUGCUUGAAAGAGUUAAGUUAUUUUCUAAAGACCUGGAAUCAAUAGAAAAGAAUGACUGGGUUAACAUAAGGGGUUGUGGAGACCAAGGUUUUUAUUACAUAGAUGAAGUCUCAUAAGUGGCUGCCCUUAGAGAUAAUAGAUAGCAAAUGUUUUCUAUUUAGACUUUUAAAAGGUGCUAGAUUCUCAGUUAAUCUCUUCAGGUUUCGGAAGGCCUGGAAGAGGAAAGAUCUAGUUAUGUUAAUGAGAUGCUUUACAGAUGCAAAUGUUUCUCAAUGGCUCUGCAGGUCCAUUUCAAAAUAGGGCCAAAAAACAUACUUUGGGGUAAAAUAUUUUUAUUUCCAUUUUUAUCAUGUGAAGUUAUACUAGAGUCAGGUUGGACUUUGGUAUCUUAUUGCUACAAAGAAUCUGUUUUGUCAGUGUUAAGAUCUGUUUUUUUUCUUUGUUUUUGUUUGUUUGUUUUGAGAAGUGGUCUCACUUUGUCACCCAGGCUGAAAUGCAGUGGCACAAUCUCAGCUCACUGCAACCUCUGCCUCCCAGGCUCAAGCGAUUCUCCUGCCUCAGCCUCCCAAGUUGCUAGGACUAAGGUGUAUGUCACCAUGCCUAGCUAAUUUUUGUAUUUUUGCAGAGACAGGAUUUCACCAUGUUGCCCAGGCUAUUCUUGAACUCCUGACUUCAAGGGAUACGCCCACCUCAGCCUCCCAAAGUGUUGACAUUAUAGGCAUGAGCCACCUCACCAGGCCAAGAUCUGUUUUAAUGUUCAUGCUGGUCAGUUAUGCCUGAAAUCCAAAUGGGAGAGGGUAUAAUGAGGCAUGUCUGACCACCUACUUCCUUCCCUUUAUGGCCUUAACUAGUUUUUCAGGUUUCUUUGGAAUCUCUUUGGCAGAAGUGUGGGAUCCAUUCAGUCAAUUGGGGGGUUAGAAUUGCAUUUUUGGUCAUGAAACUUGACCUUGAAAGUUAUUUUAUGAAUAUGAACCAUUUUCUUUUUUUUAUUAUUAUACUUUAAGUUUUGGGAUACAUGUGCAGAAUAUGCAGGUUUGUUACAUAGGUAUACACAUGCCAUGGUGGUUUGUGGCACUCAUCAACCUGCCGUCUACAUUAGGUAUUUCUUCUAAUGCUAUCCCUCCCCUAGUCCCCCACCACUGACAGGCCCCAAUGUGUGAUGUUCCCCUCCCUGUGUCCACGUGUUCUCAUUGAUCAACUCCCACUUAUGAGUGAUAACAUUCAGUGUUUGGUUUUCUGUUCCUGUGUUAGUUUGCUGAGAAUGAUGGUUUCCAGCUUCAUUCAUGUCCCUGCAAAAGACAUGAACUCAUCCUUUUUUGUGGCUGCAUAGUAUUCCAUGGUGUAUAUGUGCCACAUUUUCUGUAUCCAGUCUAUCAUCAAUGGGCAUUUAGGUUGGUUCCAAGUCUUUGCUAUUGUGAACAUUGCCGCAAUAAACAUAUGUAUACGUGUGCAUGUGUCUUUGUAGUAGAAUGAUUGAUCAUCCUUUGGGUAUAUACCCAGUAAUGGGAUUACUGGGUCAAAUGGAAUUUCUGAUUCUAGAUCCUUAAGGAAUCGACACACUCUUCCACAAUGGUUGAACUAACUUACACUCCCACCAACAAUGUAAAAGCUUUCCUAUUUCUCCACAUUAUCUCCAGCAUCUGUUGUUUCCUGACUUUUUAAUGAUUGCCAAAUACCUAAUGACUUUUUAAUGAUGGCCCCAAAUACCUAAUCCUGAUGGUAAUGGUAUUAAGAGGUAAGGCCUAUGGGAGGUGAUUUGGUCAUGAGGCUCUACCCCCAUGAAUGGGAUUAGUAUCCUUAAAAAUGUGGCCUGAGGGAGCUCUUUUACUUCUACUACCAUAUGAGGACAUAGCUAGAAGGUGCCAUCUUUGAAGCAGAGAUUGAGCCCUCAUUGUUCACCACAUUUUCUGGCACCUUAAUGUUCGAAAUCCCUGACUCCAGGACUCUCAGUAAAUUACGUUUUUAAAAACUACCCAGUCCAAGUUACAUUGUUAUAGCACCCUGAAAGAAUCAAGGUAUAAAUUGAUAGCAAGAAGUGGUGUGCUGCUCUAACAAAUACCUACAAAUGCGGAUGCAGCUUGGGAACUAGGUAAUGGGUAGAGGCCGUAAGAAUGCAAAGGAUCAGGCUAGAAAAAGCCUACAUUUCUGUGAGCAGAGUGUUAAGAGUGAUCUGGUUAUGGCUCAGAAGAGGAGAGCUGUAAACAAUGCCUAAUCUUCUUAGAGAUUUCCUAAGAGGUCAUGAACAGAAUUUUGGUAUAAAUCUGGAUGGUAAAGGCCAUUCUGAUGAAGUCUCAGGUGAAAAUGAGAAAUGUUAUCAGAAACUGGAGGAAAAGCCAUCCCUCUUAUAAAGUGGCAAAUAACCUGGCUGAACUGUGUAUGUAUCCUAGGGCUUUGCAGAAGGUAGAACUUCUGAGCAAUGAUAGUAUAGUUAGUGAAAUAAAUAUCUAAGCAAAGUGUUGAGGGUGUGUUAUGGCCUCUCUUGAAUGCUUGUAGUAAAAUACAAGAAGAUAGAAACAAAUUAAAAAGAAUUUAUAAUCAAAAGGGAAGCAGAAUGUAAAGAUCUGAAAAAUUUUCAGUGUGGCUAUGUUGUGAAGAGUUAAUGAAAAAGCAUAUUCAGAAGAGAAUACUAAAGGUAUGACCAAGCCACCAUUUGAUAAGAAGAUUAGUAGGGAUAGAAGGAAGGCAGAUGCUAUUCUGCAUGACAAUAAGAGAAUGACCCUAAAGGCAUUUCAGAGACCAUCCAGCCUGCCACUCACAUCACAGGCUCAGAAUACCAAACCUGGGGCGUAAAAUGAGGUCAAAAGAGGGACCUUGGGCAUCCAAGGAACCUCAGUGCUUGCUGCCCUGAACUACCUCAAGUCUCUGCUCCCUACAUUCUGGCACAGCAUUUUUCAGCUCCCUCUCUCAUCAGAUGUGUCUCAAAUGGGCCCAGAUGUGGUUCAGGCCACCACUCUAAAGUGCACAGGCAGUAAAAAUCUUGGCAGCAUCAACACAGUGCCAUCUCCACAGGAGCACAGAGCAAAAUGAGCUGUAGAGACAUGGCUACCUCCACCUAUAUUACUAAGGGUACUCCCAGAGAGCUGCAGGGCAUGGACAAAGAUGUCCCACAGGAAUAGGACUACAAUAAAGAGUCACCAUUGGGGCAAUGUCUAUUAAAGCCAUGGAGGGACCACCAUAAAGGCAAAGUCUGGUAAAACCAUGAGGGCAGGGCCAUCCCAGAGACCUCAGAUUGGUAAAGCCACCAGUGUGCAACUCCAGCCUAGGACAACCACAAACACAAGACUCCAACACAUGAGCACUGUGGCACGGGCUAUGCACAGAAAAGUCAUUGGGAAUGGGACCAGUUAAAGCCUUGGGGGCCCAAUCCUCAUCCAAGUGUGUGUGAAAGGCACAACACUGAGUCAAAGAAGAUUAUUCUCCAGCCUUAAGUUUUAAUAUUGUUUGUGCUCUUGGGUUUUAGACUUCCUUGAAACAUAUUACCCCUUUUCCUUUCUUCUCUCUCCCUUAUGGAAUGGGAAUUUCUAACUUAUGCCUGUCCCACCACUGUAUUUUGGAAACAUAAAACUUGUUUAACUUCAAAAGCUCAGAGUAGAAGGGGAAUUUGGCUCAGAAUGAAUGAUACCUUGAGUCUCACCCAAAUCUAACGUAGAUGAUAUUUAGAUGAGACUUUGAACUUUAAACUUUUGAGUUGAUGCAAAAACAGGUUAAGAAUUUGGGGGCUAUUGACGGGCACGGUGGCUCACGCCUGUAAUCCCAACACUUUGGGAAGCCAAGGUGGGUGGAUCACGAGGUCAGGAGUUCAAGACCAGCCUGGCCAACAUAUUGAAACCCCGUCUAUACUAAAAAUACAAAAAUUACCCAGGCAUAGUGGCACACGCCUGUAGUCCCAGCUACUCAGGAGGCUGAGGCACGAGAAUCACUUGAGCCUGGGAGGUGGAGGUUGCAGCGAGCCAAGAUUGCACCACUGCACUCCAGCCUGGGUAACAGAGUGAGACUCCGUCUCAGGAAAAAAAAAAAAAAAAAAAAAAAGAAUUUGGGGGCUAUUAGGAUAGGAUGAAUAUAUUUUGCAUGUGGGAAAGACACAAAUUUGGGGGGCCCAAGGGUGGGAAGGUAUGUUCUAAAAGUCUGUAUCCCCCAAAAUUUAUAUGUUGAAACCUAACCCCCAAGGUGAUAUUAUUAAGAGAUGUAGCCUUUGGAAGCUGAUUAGAUAAUGGAGGGUCAGUCAUACUGAAUGGGAUUAGUUCCCUAAUAAAACAGACGUGAGAGAGCUUGUCACCUCUUCUGCCAUGUGAGCAUAUAGAUAGAAGGUGCCAUCUUUGAAGCAGAGAGUGAGCCUUCAACAGAUAAUGAAUGUGCUGGGGCCUUGAUCUUGGACUUCCCAGACACCACAACUGUGAGCAGUAAGUUUUAUUAUUUAUAAAAGAUUAUAAAUCACCUAGCUAUGGUAUUUUGCUACAGCAGCCUGAAUGGACUAAAAUAAGGCUGAUAUAUUUUACUGAUAAUUUCAAAGAAUCUGUUUAAAAUUCAUUGAUUAUUAAUUUUUGGCUUUCUAUUCCUGUGAUUUCACUUUCAAAAUGAUUGAAUCAAUUCUUCUCAUUUGCUUGGAUUAAUUAUUUGUUUAUUAACAUUUGGUAAGAUUAGUUCAUUCUUUUCGGUCUUAUUACCUUAAUUUUCAAAACUGUUUUAUAUAACACUUGGUUGAGCUUAUGAUAAUAAAUAAAUAAAUAAACAUUUUAAUAAAGUCAUUAAUGGAUAAAGGCUUUCCUCUGAGAAAAGCAUCUGCAGGCAUAAUAGGAUUUGACUUGAUGUAUUUUGCCUUUAAUUAUUCUCUGGAUAUUAUGUAAGUUCCCUUUUUAUUUCCUAUUUGAGUAAAAGAGAAUCUUAAACGUGUUUAUUAAUUUCAGAUUGGAUAAGAUUUUGGUAAUGUUUCUUUACUUCCAAAUUUAUUGAAUAGACAAAUGAUAUGGAUGGAUAAAUGCUUACUAUUUUAAUACAUUAAAUGAUUUUAAGCCAAAAGACUGAUAAACCUAUUAAAAAUUCUCAUUCUUGCCGGGCACAGUGGCUCACACCUGUAAUCCCAGCACUUUAGGAGGCCAAGGUGGGCGGAUCACUUGAGGUCAGGAGUUUGAGACUAGCCUGGCCAACAUGGGGAAACCCCGUCUCUACUAAAAAAUACAAAAAUAGGCCGGCGUGGUGGCAGGCACCUGUAAUCUCACCUACUCAGGGGGCUGAGGCAGGAGAAUCACUUGAACCUGGGAGGUUGGAGGUUGCGGUGAGCCAAGAUCAGGCCACUAUACUCCAGCCUGGGCGACAGAGCCAGAAGUCCAUCUCAAAAAAAAAAAAAAAAAAACAAAACUCAUUCUCUAAUUGUGAGAUGUAAAGUGUUAUAUUUAAUACGUAAAUUGUGUUUAUUGAUUGAAUAAUUCAGUUCUUUAUGUCUUUUACAGGAAUUUAAAGACUGAUUUAUGCAUAAAACAAGAGAAUCAGAAGUAUUAAAUUUAAUCAGUGCUUAUUAUGGCAUGGUCCAUUUAUAUCAGUGUUUUUCUUUUUGAGAGUAUUUCCUUAUUUUCUGAAUCCAUGUAUAAAUAAAAGCUAUUUUCUACUAAAAAAAAACCAUGGUAACAUGGAUCAAUAAAUAAUACAGAUCAAAGCAGAACUAAACAAAAUAGAGAUGAAAAACCAACACAAAGGAUCAACAAAAUGAAAAAUUGGUUCUUUGAAAAUAUAAACAAAACUGCUGGGCGCGAUGGCUCACUCCUGUAAUCCCAGCACUUCGGGAGGCCAAGACGGGUGAAUCACUUGAGGUCAGGAGUUCGAGAUCAGCGUGGCCAAAAUGGUGAAAUCUCAUCUCUACUAGAAAUAAAAAAAGUAGCCAGGCAUGGUGGCGCACGCCUGUAAACUCAGCUACUAGGGAGGCUGAGGCACAAGAAUCGCUUGAACCCAGGAGAUGGAGGUUGCAGUGAGCCAAGAUCACACCACUGCACUCCAGCCUGGGUGACAGUUUUAUAUUUAUAUAUAUAUAUACACACACACACACACAUAUGAACCUGAUAAACCACUAGCUAGACUAACCAAGAAAAGAACAG